UACAUGGUUAUCCUUGGCCCACCGUAUACAGUAUACACAAUUAUAUGUUAUCUUCUUUGGAUUGGAUCCUAUGAGGUUCAAUUAUUGAUUGUGUGGAGAGAUGGGAGCCUCGGCUAGAUUUUGUCCGUUUUGAAUGAAAUUAAGGGAGGUGUAUUAGUUCAAGACUUAUGUAGAUUUUAAAAGUCCGUGGAUUUUAAAAGUCUGUAGAAUUCUCACGGAUUCUUCAUAAUUUUGAGUGAAUUCUCGGUCAGAUUUUUAAUGAAUUAGCAAGAAUUUGACUUUCGGACUUGAAAUCCACAAACCUAGCGCGCGCGGGGAUUGAACGAGCGAUGGACAGGCACCCAGCGGCCGCUAGGGGUCCAGCGAGCGCUGGGUUUGUGGCCAGCGUUGGGUUCCAGCAGCGCUGCCUACACAGUGAGCGCUGGACACCAGCCAGCGCUGGGAUCUCCUCUAGAGCAGAGCAGCACCGGAUAACAAGGUGACGGAGUCUUGGGAAGCUGCUCUCAUCGCUUGCCAUUGCACCAGCUGCACAUCUUCAAGUAGCAGGAACUGCAGCUUGCUGAACUCUUGCUCUGCUGCAUCCAGGUAAGUAUUAUCACAUCACCACGCUCCGUUGAGAUGGCGGCGGGAGAUCGACACGAUUGGCUCUCUGCUCGUCCUCAUAUGGUCCCGUCGACGAUCUGCUUGGGGUGGCAUCCGUUACAUCUGGGUUCGGUGAUUUGUGGGGUUGACGCCGCAUUCUUCAAUGAUUCCAAUACCAUGGGUGUUUGGCGUGGUGGUACGGGAUCAUGAGCAGGGGCGGAGCUAGGGGUGGGGGAGGGGGGUCACUGGGAUUUUCAAAAAUAGUAGUAGGUAAUUUUAUAUAUUAAAAAUAGAAAAAUAUAUUUUUAUCUUCAUCAUUAUCAUAUUGAGCUAUUUUAUAUUGUAAUUGAUAUGUAAGCUUAGAGUUGAGAUAUUUUGAAGAAAUAAACACAUAACUAAUUUAUACAUCA